CCUACGGGCUGCACCAGUGGGGAAUAUUGCACAAUGGGCGCAAGCCUGAUGCAGCCAUGCCGCGUGUAUGAAGAAGGCCUUCGGGUUGUAAAGUACUUUCAGCGGGGAGGAAGGUGUUGUGGUUAAUAACCACAGCAAUUGACGUUACCCGCGGAAGAAGCACCGGCUAACUCCGUGCCAGCAGCCGCGGUAAUACGGAGGGUGCAAGCGUUAAUCGGAAUUACUGGGCGUAAAGCGCACGCAGGCGGUCUGUCAAGUCGGAUGUGAAAUCCCCGGGCUCAAACUGGGUACUGCAUUCGAAACUGGCAGGCUAGAGUCUUGCAGAGGGGGGUGAAAUUCCAGGUGUAGCGGUGAAAUGCGUAGAGAUCUGGAGGAAUACCGGUGGCGAAGGCGGCCCCCUGGACAAAGACUGACGCUCAGGUGCGAAAGCGUGGGGAGCAAACAGGAUUAGAUACCCGUGUAGUC
rnacentral:rRNA from 1 species